ACUACUUUGGCAGAUUAGUGCAUUGGAUUUAGAAUUCAAGUAUGUAGAGAAGGCUUUACAAGUAGUA
rnacentral:tRNA from 1 species